rnacentral:rRNA from 1 species
UGUCCUACGGGAGGCAGCAGUGGGGAAUAUUGCACAAUGGGGGAAACCCUGAUGCAGCGACGCCGCGUGAGUGAAGAAGUAUUUCGGUAUGUAAAGCUCUAUCAGCAGGGAAGAAAAUGACGGUACCUGACUAAGAAGCCCCGGCUAACUACGUGCCAGCAGCCGCGGUAAUACGUAGGGGGCAAGCGUUAUCCGGAUUUACUGGGUGUAAAGGGAGCGUAGACGGCAUGGCAAGUCAGAUGUGAAAGCCCGGGGCUCAACCCCGGGACUGCUCUGGGAACUGUGCGGCUGGAGUGCGGGAGGGG